GUUUUCAGCAGACAGUUGGAAGUAAAGCUCAUGACACCAUUGCUUCUCCUACCUCAUCUGAGGGUAAUCAAUUGAUUUAAAUUAAUUAUAUAUUAUUUAAAUAAUUAUUAUAUUAUUUAAAUAAUAAAUUAAUUCAAUCCAGAUAAUUUUUUAAAUCCAUUUCCUAGCACAGUUCCGUGACUGGCUGUGCUGCCUGGAUGGAGGAGGAGCAAUGGGAAGAGGGGAUGGCCUUUUUCUCCCAGUGUCACCAGCGAUGCUGGGUUGAGUGACCCAGGCACCAGUGGUCUCCAGCCAGAGGGGGCCCCUGGGGACCUUUUUGGCAGUGGGAAGUGUUCUGCAGCUGAUCCAUGAAAUGACAAGUAGACAAACACAGACUCUUCCCAGGUCAGCAGUUUCAGGGUGAGAGGUGUGAAGGCAAGGACAUGCACAAUUGCCAUAGUGGCAGCUUGGGGUGGCUACUGUGCAUCUCCAAUUGUGUCCUUGAAGAGUAAAAUUGUUGAAGGUCUGGAUGUCUGAUAGCUUCAUAAUCAUCCUUGCUGCUGAAAUCUGUGCUUUUACAUGACCUUGGUUGUUACAUACAACCAGGUUUAUUAGGAGUAUGCCAUGACAUAUUUGUGUUUGUGACCAAACCCCAACACAACAGAACUGCAGCACUCCUCUCCAAGAUAUCUGACUUGAAGAUCCCUAAGCCUGUUUUCUGCUAAUAUGGAUCUCCAUGAUAACGCUGAUAAAAAGUGAUGCAGUUCAAGGAAUCCUGGAAGCAAACCAAUAAAGAUGGUUUCUUUCAAGCA
rnacentral:lncRNA from 1 species